UCCUCCCCCCAUUACCGCCCUCCCCCAACAAUCACGUUCACUGGGGGUUCAGUCUUAGCAGGACCAAGGGCUACCACUUCCACUGGUGCUCUUACUAGGAUAUUCAUUGCUACCUAAAGCGGUUCAUUUCUUAACCAUCCACAUUUGUUAUAUAGUAUUCCAACUGUAAGAUGUUAGCAUACAGUUACAGCUGCCCAUUGGCUUGGUUGCCACUUUAUGCUCCACUUUUACAAUCUGUCUGUCUGUCUGACAUGCCUGUUAAGACAGUUGCAUAGGAAAAUGGGAUCACUGUUAUGGUGAUAUUUCAAGUGUUAGAAGCUAUAUGCAAAUUCCUCAGCUUCGACCUGAAUGUUAUACAUGUCAAGAACACAAUAGCCAUGGGAAGAAAAAUGAGGAGGAGGAAGACGAGAACAAGAGGGAGGAAGAGCCUGCCAUCACCCUCUCCUUACGGCUUCAACCCCAGCUGCCCACCUUGAGGACUCCGUUGUUGGUGAAUGGGGCACUGGAAGUGCUUCCCACCGUCUCUGGGCCUCAGCGAUAAUGUACUUCGAGAGGAGGCUGAUUGCGCCGACUGAAAUCCAUCCUGGCCAAAGGCUGCAGCUGUUUCCAUUUACAGCCUGUAUUUUUGGAGCUCGUGCCUGUUCCAGGGAAGGAUGGGAUAAUUGAUUUAAAUCAAAUUAUGAAACAUGAUACUCUGAAUUCCU